UAUAAAGACGCGACUUCAUCACGUUCAACGGGAGGGUAGUUUAAAACAACAAACAAAAGAAUUCUCCUGCAACAAGGUCACAGAGCAGCUCUCGGUGGCUGAUAUUCGCCAGCGUUAUCGCCUCUAUCGCUUGUGCUGCCUGUCCCAAAAAUAACCUCAGCUGUCAGAGCCCGUCUCUGUCUUCAUGGCCAUUUGUAGAAGCGAGACGGACGGAGGCUGUUCGAUAAGGGCUGCGUUUCCCGCAAGCUCCCCCGCUUUGAACUAAUAAAAUCAUAUUCAAAACGUGUCAGAGGUUCCGUUACUGAUUAGCGCGUUUGCGGAGAUGCGCAAGUUUAGCGCAGCGUUAAGUGGCGCAAAGGGAUCAGCGGCCGUUUUGAAGGUAACAAGCCAAUUAACGGGAAGUGACACGGGAACCUGCAGUGUUGCGGGCUUUCCCCCCCAGGACCAGUGACUGACAGCAGCAGGUCGCCUGGACCCUGAUUUAAACCCUCCGAAACUCUAGCAGACGGGCGACUUGAAGGUUGUGGGAACAACCUUCCACCUGAAGGACACAACCGGCUCACAGCAGCAGGCUGUGCUUUUAGCUCAUCUAAAAGCCUUCAAGUGUACAUUCAACACUAUCUGAGGAACACGGUCUCACAGCUGCCCCCUCGCAGCCAUUUCAAGAAUAAGGUCAUGGCUGUAUCAUGUUCACAGUGGACACACGUGGGCGUCACCUCAACUGGACA